AGAGUUUGAUUAUGGCUCAGAAUGAACGCUGGCGGCAGGCCUAACACAUGCAAGUCGAACGGAAACGACAAGAACAAACUCUUCGGAGGGCGAUCUUGGGCGUCGAGUGGCGGACGGGUGAGUAACGCGUGGGAAUCUACCCCUUAGUUGGGGACAACAUAUGGAAACGUAUGCUAAUACCGAAUAUGCUCUACGGAGUAAAGGUGGCCUCUACUUGUAAGCUAUCGCUAAAGGAUGAGCCCGCGUUAGAUUAGCUAGUUGGUGGGGUAAAGGCCUACCAAGGCGACGAUCUAUAGCUGGUUUGAGAGGAUGAUCAGCCACACUGGGACUGAGACACGGCCCAGACUCCUACGGGAGGCAGCAGUGGGGAAUAUUGCACAAUGAGGGAAACCUUGAUGCAGCCAUGCCGCGUGUGUGAAGAAGGCCCGAGGGUUGUAAAGCACUUUCAAUUGUGAGGAAAGGCUAGUCGCUAAUAUCGGCUAGCUGUGACGUUAACUUUAGAAGAAGCACCGGCUAACUCUGUGCCAGCAGCCGCGGUAAUACAGAGGGUGCAAGCGUUAUUCGGAAUUACUGGGCGUAAAGCGCGCGUAGGCGGACUGUUAAGUCGGUUGUGAAAGCCCUGGGCUCAACCUAGGAAUUGCAUCCGAUACUGGCAAUCUAGAGUUUAGGAGAGGGAAGUGGAAUUCCUGGUGUAGCAGUGGAAUGCGUAGAUAUCACGAGGAACAUCAGUGGCGAACGCGACUUCCUGGCCUAAAACUGACGCUGAGGUGCGAAAGGCGUGGGUAGCGAACGGGAUUAGAUACCCUGGUAGUC
rnacentral:rRNA from 1 species